rnacentral:tRNA from 1 species
CACGGGAAAUGGUCGGGAUAGCUCAGUUGGUAGAGCAUA